rnacentral:misc_RNA from 1 species
UAGUGAUUGACUUUCCAUAACAUGUUUUAACCGCCAUACUUCUCAGUUUAACUCUUGCAUUGUGCAAUCUCCAAUUGUACUCUACUUUUCACGUCUCUGAGUCUGAGGAGCUCUAAAAUGUGAAUGCUUAUAUUUAAACCUCUGUUUGAAGCAACAAGUUAGAUUAAAAUGAAUAUUUCAAAUUUUUGUAGAUCUGUAAUAUGGUGAUGAUUGAUUUUGUUGAUCUAAAUUUUCACCUGAUUUUUCUGUGUGCUACUGAAGUCAUUUUACUGAAAUAAAAUAGAUUAUAUUAACAACCUUUGGUGUUUUAGGAUUUGCUUUAUAAGUUUGCCUUAUUUAAACUUUUGGUUGUAGAAGUAACUAGAAAUUUGAUGACUAAUUCUAGCAUGACUUUGUCUACCGUCUCUCUUAAUAUUGUGACUAGUUGAGUCAUUGCUGACAUUUUUGAGAAUUAAGAAUGUUACUUUGAGACUGUUUAUAUUAAAAUCAUUUAUCAUUUUGUUUGCAGGAUUUGGAAAGAAUUGUUGAAA